GACGAACGCUGGCGGCGUGCUUAACACAUGCAAGUCGAACGGAAAGGCCCUGCUUUUGUGGGGUGCUCGAGUUGCGAACGGGUGAGUAACACGUGAGUAACCUGCCCUUGACUUUGGGAUAACUUCAGGAAACUUGGGCUAAUACCGGCUAGGAGCUCCUGCUGCUUGGUGGGGGUUGGAAAGUUUCGGCGGUUGGGGAUGGACUCGCGGCGCAUCAGCUUGUUGGUGGGGUAGUGGCUUACCAAGGCUAUGCCGGGUAGCCGUCCUGAGCGGGGGACCCGACAAGUUGGGACUGGGAUACGACCCAGACUAGUACGGGAGGCAGGAGUGGAGAAGAUUGUACAGUGGGAGGAAGCCUGAUGCAGCAACGCAGCGUGGGGGAUGACGGCAUUCGGGUUGGAAAGCACUUUCGCCUGUGACGAAGCGUGAGUGACGGUAAUGGGUAAAGAAGCACCGGCUAACUACGUG
rnacentral:rRNA from 1 species